rnacentral:rRNA from 1 species
GAUGAACGCUGGCGAUGUGCCUAAUACAUGCAAGUCGAGCGAACAGACGAGGAGCUAACUCCUCUGACGUUAGCGGCGGACGGGUGAGUAACACGUGGAUAACCUACCUAUAAGACUGGGAUAACUUCGGGAAACCGGAGCUAAUACCGGAUAACAUGUUGAACCGCAUGGUUCAACAGUGAAAGACGGUCUUGCUGUCACUUAUAGAUGGAUCCGCGUCGCAUUAGCUAGUUGGUAAGGUAACGGCUUACCAAGGCAACGAUGCGUAGCCGACCUGAGAGGGUGAUCGGCCACACUGGAACUGAGACACGGUCCAGACUCCUACGGGAGGCAGCAGUAGGGAAUCUUCCGCAAUGGGCGAAAGCCUGACGGAGCAACGCCGCGUGAGUGAAGAAGGUCUUCGGAUCGUAAAACUCUGUUAUUAGGGAAGAACAAAUGUGUAAGUAACUAUGCACGUCUUGACGGUACCUAAUCAGAAAGCCACGGCUAACUACGUG